GGUUUGGUUGCUCAGUUGGUUAGAGCACCGUGUUCGCAACGCGGAGGUCAUGGGUUCCAUCCCCAAUCCAAGCCA
rnacentral:tRNA from 1 species